rnacentral:rRNA from 1 species
CAGUUCAGAUUGCAGGCUGCAACUCGCCUGCAUGAAGUCGGAAUUGCUAGUAAUCGCGGAUCAGCAUGCCGCGGUGAAUACGUUCCCGGGCCUUGUACACACCGCCCGUCACCCAUGAGAGUUGGCAACACCCGAAGUCAGUAGGCUAACGCAAGAAGCCGCUGCCGAAGGUGGGGUUGAUGAUUGGGGUGAAGUCGUAACAAGGUAUC